UACGUAGGGUGCAAGCGUUGUCCGGAAUUAUUGGGCGUAAAGAGCUCGUAGGCGGUCUGUCGCGUCCGCUGUGAAAACUCGGGGCUUAACCCCGGGCCUGCAGUGGGUACGGGCAGACUAGAGUGCGGUAGGGGAGACUGGAAUUCCUGGUGUAGCGGUGAAAUGCGCAGAUAUCAGGAGGAACACCGGUGGCGAAGGCGGGUCUCUGGGCCGUAACUGACGCUGAGGGGCGAAAGCGUGGGGAGCGAACAGG
rnacentral:rRNA from 1 species